AGUGAACGCUGGCGGUAGGCCUAACACAUGCAAGUCGAACGGCAGCACAGUAAGAGCUUGCUCUUACGGGUGGCGAGUGGCGGACGGGUGAGGAAUACAUCGGAAUCUACUUUUUCGUGGGGGAUAACGUAGGGAAACUUACGCUAAUACCGCAUACGACCUACGGGUGAAAGCAGGGGAUCUUCGGACCUUGCGCGAUUGAAUGAGACGAUGUCGGAGUAGCUAGUUGGCGGGGUAAAGGCCCACCAAGGCGACGAUCCGUAGCUGGUCUGAGAGGAUGAUCAGCCACACUGGAACUGAGACACGGUCCAGACUCCUACGGGAGGCAGCAGUUGGGAAUAUUGGACAAUGGGCGCAAGCCUGAUCCAGCCAUACCGCGUGGGUGAAGAAGGCCUUCGGGUUGUAAAGCCCUUUUGUUGGGAAAGAAAAGCAGCAGGUUAAUACCCCGCUGUUCUGACGGUACCCAAAGAAUAAGCACGGGCUAACUUCGUG
rnacentral:rRNA from 1 species